rnacentral:lncRNA from 1 species
CAGGAACUGAGUCACCAGCUAUGGUCGCCUCCACUUCCAAGAUAAGGUUGUUCCUGUCAGCAGAGUGGCAACGCUUGCUUGGACCAGCCAGAACCUGCUCUUCAGCUUGGAAAGUGAUAAGACACACUGGCAUGUUUUUGUUCUCUUUUCCUAAAUUCCAAGCUGACUACAUUUGCACUGUUUUUCCAGUCAGAGGGCUAUGCAGUUUUCUUGGUUAUAAACUGAUUUGCAUAAGCAGCAGUUCACCUGAGCAGGCAUGUGGGUCAUCCUGUCUCUUAACCAGGCAUGAGCUACAUUGUUCCUGUCUCUUAACCAGGCAUGAGAUACAUUGUUCCUGUCUCUUAACCAGGCAUGAGAUACAUUGUUCCUGUCUCUUAACCAGGUAUGAGAUACAUUGUUUCUGUUUCUUGACCAGGUAUGAGAUACAUUGUUCCUGUCUCUUAACCAGGCAUGAGAUACAUUGUUCCUGUCUCUUGACCAGGCAUGAGAUACAUUAUUUCUGUCUCUUGACCAGGUAUAGGUGGGGAAUGCUCAAAUGGCCCCUGAGAGAUGGGCAGUUCCAGAUACGGAAAAAGAAGGCUUUGACCAAAGCAGCAUGGUAUCUCUGUAAGUAAAUUUCUUCAGGAAAGGAUUCAUCUCAGGAUAGAUAGUUUUGUAUCUCUAAGAUGAUUUACAGGCAGGAGAGAGAACGAGGCCCUCAGGGGAAGGGUGGGAUAAAGGAAGAAAGGUAGCCACCCGACCCAAACCAUGAGAGCAGAAAGAAAAGGGUUUGGAGGCAGCUGCUAAAGCAGACUUCACUCCACAGCCUGGAGUAUGAGAGCCAAGGGAGGUGACAGUGAACACCCAUAGGAAUUACAUGCAUUCCUAGUGAACAACCUGAACAGGGUGCAGGGAACAAUGGCCAGAAACAGUAGAAGGCAGCCUGAGCCGAAGACCAUCUGGGAGAAAAUUAAAAUUGCCAGACGCCCAUAGAGGCAUACUUUAUAAUGUGUUGAAGUUUCAUGCUAAAGAAUCUUUGAAAUGAGCAGUUUACCAGCGGGAGAACUGAUAGCAGCUAAAUGCUGCUGUAAGAAACAGGAUUAUAGUUGAGAAUUCCAGGUUACUGGUAGGGUUAGCAUGCAGAGAGGCUCUGCAAAUUCAUUUUCAGAUUUACAAGAGAGAGGGGGAAAGACAGAGAGAGACAGAGACAGACAGAGAGAGGCGGAGAAACAGAGACAGAGACAGGUAGAGACAGAGAUGGAGACAGAGACAAGGAGACAGAGAGAGAAAGAUGGAGACAGAGACUGAGAGACAGGCAGAUGGCAGAAAGAGGGAGGGAGGUAGAAAAAAUGUCUCUAAUGAUCACUCUGAUCUACAUAAAAUACAAAAUAAGUAUCUCAAAUGUUUCUAAACUGUACAUUAAGUGCUAAUGUGUACCAUGGGAAAUGGGGUUUAUUUAGAUCUGGAAAGCUAAAAUCACACACAAAGAAAUUGAUAAAUAAGGAUAAAGAACUUGUAGUUCAAGUUUUCCAUAAUGAGCUGAUGUUAUUUUAUAAUUGGGAAAAAAAUACAAAAUGUUACCAUUUACCAAGAAAUACUCUUUUCUCUAAGUGGCUUUAAGUUUGAAACCCAGUUUAUUUCUAAACUGAGAUUACUACCAGAUCAGAUGGAAAGGUCUACCAUCAAUUAAAAGUGAAGGGAUCCCAAUAAGCUGGGGCCAGAAGAAACUACAUAGAGGGGCUGGAUCGACAGAGCAGUAGUUAGGAGCACUCAGGGCUGCCUUCAGUUCCAAACACACACUGGGUGCUCACUGCUGCCUCUCACUGCAGUUCCGGGAGAUACAGCGCCCUCUUCUGGCCUUGGAGGGCAUCUGCAUGCACACAGUGCACAUACCUACACUCAGCAGGGUAUGCACACACAAACACACACACACACACACACACACACACACACACACACACACACACACACACAAAACAAAUAAUGAAAAAAAUUUCAGAAAGAAAACCAAAGAAACAAGGUCUAUAAAUGCUUUUCUUUUUCCUCAUCUGAUCUUUUUUGAUCAGUUAGAAAAAUUCUUAGCAUGGGUGAAAGGGAACAUUAGUCAGUAGACAGUCAAAGUAGGAUGGAAUCUGUCUUCUCAGCUGAUGUAUCAGUUUACAACUGCCAGUUCCUUAUGAGUUUUCUUGGGAAUUCAUAAACUACAGUUGAGACAAGCUGAGAAUCUUGAAACAGAAUGUUUCUCCUCUAUGAUUUUGGCCUUUAGUGAAGCUUUGAUUUGAAGUAGGAGAAGGGGAAAUCUCAUGAAUUCUUGCUUGUACACGGUUAACUAGAAUAGGUAUAGGGACAAAAGCGAGUGAUUGUCAUAAAUGUUAAAUGUUCAUCUAAACUUCGAUCCUUUCCCUCCUUCCUUUAUGGUUACACUGUGAUAUUUGUCUUUUUUGAAUUUAUCUCUCUACUUCCCUUGAUUGUUAAAAGAAAAAAAUAUAUUGGAAGAGAUAUGAAGAAAACUCUAAUACUGUGCUACAAAAAUGUGGUUGCUUCUUAGAAAAUCUUGCUGCCAUGUAAUUUUGAAAAACAAAAUCAGAAAAUCAAGAUGUUGGCCAGUGACCUCUGCCCCUGCCCAGUGACCCUCCUAAAAUGCCACCCAAUCCCAUUAAUAGUUCUUGACAACUCUAUGGAAUGCCAUCUUAAACACUUCAAGCAUAUGUGGAGCGUAUAAAAUAACACAGGGGAAUUUAUAGAUUAUGGUUUCCCACUAACUGUUCAUCUCUGGGCUCCAAAGGACUUCUUUGUAAAGCAGAUAUUUGCUCAUUUGAUAAAUGAGACAACUCC